rnacentral:ncRNA from 2 species
AGUCUUCGGGGUCGGGUGAAAGUCCCAACCGGCGGUAUAGUCCGCGACCCGUGAGCACACAGGUGCGCUGCAGAGCAUGAAGUUGUGUAAACGGCUGAUUUGGUGAAAUUCCAAAACCGACAGUAAAGUCUGGAUGAGAGAAGA